CUCUCUCUCUGUACAUGAAGGGAUCAUGAGAGCUCACAGCAAGAUGGCGGCUGCCUACAAGCCAGGAAAAGAGGCCUUGGGGUGAAACUUACCUUGCAGUACCUUGAUCUUGAACUUCUUACCCUCCAAAACUGUGAGGAAUACAUUUCUGUUGUCUAAGCCACCUGGUCUAUGGUACUUGGUUAUAGCAGCUCCUGCAGACUGAUACACUCCAGGUGGUGGGAUUCUGGGUAAAUUUUGCUUUUUAAAAAAUACUUUGUUACUUUCUCUCUGUGCUGAAGGAGCAAAAAGUAUUCUUAUAAUAGUAGCUCAACAAUAUAUCCCCAAAAGCAUACAAGAUAAGGAACAUCACAUUUCUCAAACGUCUGCUCCUCAGGGAACUCUCUCUAGAUCUUCCCAGGUACUUGCUUCUUGUUUUGUUUCAUGGGCCUAACUUUUAGAGCUCAUGUCUCACUAUCUUGCAGGGCUUUUGGAGUCCCCUACUCAUACACCUUCUCAUACAUGAGACUACACUGCUUGAAAACCACAAUGGGCUCCAUAAACACUUUUGCAAUAGUGAAGAAGAAGAAAAAAUAAUGCCACACAUGAAUGCUCCUGAGAUGCCUCUGCCUAUUCUGGUGUGAUUGAAUUCUGUCCCCAGCAAAGGGAGGAAUGGGGUGAAUGUUGCUAUGUUUCUCUUUGCCUCCAUGGAAAGAAGUAUUUGGAGUAACCAGCAUCAUGGAGACAACAGCCUUACUCCCCAAGAAACCAGAGUUGGGGGAGAAGAGGGAUCUGCCUUCUCUGUGAAAGGCCCGGAGGCACUGAAAAGGAGCAGUUUCGGAAGAAUGCUGGCCUUGGAAUUAUCUACCCACCUAUCUAUCCAUCUGAUCAUCCAUCCAUCCAUCCAUCCUUUUAUCCAAUCUCCUAUCUGUCCAUCUGUCCAGCUAGCCAACCCUCAUUCACCAAAUAUUUAUUGAGCAUUUGCUAUGCACACUCACUAGGGAUAAAGUGGUAAACAAAAUGGACAUCAGAUCAAUUCAGGCUGGUGUCCUAGCUCAGCCAUUUAACUGUCACCUUGGGAAACUUGCUUGCUGUCUUUGAGCUGCUUUCUUUAUCUGCACAUUAGGGAUUCUAAUCUCUACAGUGAAAAAGGUUACAAUAAAUAUUGUCCAUAUAUGGACAUAACUUAGCACAGUAGCAAGACCACAGUAGGUGCACCACAAACAGUAGUUUUGGCAGUUCUCUAUCUCCCCCAAAGACCCCUGCCUACCACCCUUCUGCUGCAUAGGACAGCAUUUCUGCAUGAUCUUCAUACAAGGCAGCAACAAGGACCUGUGGGACGACGUUUGUCUGGGAGUGGAGAUGAGGCCCAAUGAGAGUCGGUGGCGUGUCUGAGGCUUACCGGUCCUUGAAGAGCAGGAGCUCCUUCC
rnacentral:lncRNA from 10 species